CCUGAAUUGGACAGGACCAGAGUCUUCCUUGGGGUUGGAGUUGGCGACGACAGGUCCGCUACAGUGCUCCCUGCCGGACUCACAGGAUCGGUCGCCCAACCCUUCUCCAUAUCCGGUUCCAGCUCCUUCUCUGCAAGUCAGAUUGGUAAUACAUUGUUUGCUUGUAUAUCACGCAAAUGACUAACCCUAAAAUUAUAGUUAAUCUAUUCGCACGUUUUCUAAUUUCUUAACAAAUUCUCGUAACGAUUUGAGUCAGGAUCUGGAAUUAAGAGCAAUGAAAAAAUUGUUUCCUGUUUCAUAUUCUAUCAAUAUUCAAUCGUUGUACCUUCUUGGAUUCUAGAUCCCAUUUUCAGAGAUAAAGGCUGAGAGAUUUCAAAGCGGGAUCAUGAUAUUGUAGGUUUGAUAGAUAGACCACUGAUGCUGGCUCGGCUGGAGAAGAAGGUUACGUCAUAAGAGCCGUCGUCGUCGUUGGCCAACGGUACCUUCACCGUCACGGCAAGAGAUCCGAUUAUGGUUUCAUAUGAAGCAGAGAG
rnacentral:lncRNA from 1 species